rnacentral:rRNA from 1 species
CCUACGGGGGGCAGCAGUGGGGAAUAUUGCGCAAUGGGGGCAACCCUGACGCAGCAACGCCGCGUGAUUGAAGAAGGCCUUCGGGUUGUAAAGAUCUUUAAUCGGGGACGAAUUUUGACGGUACCCGAAGAAUAAGCUCCGGCUAACUACGUGCCAGCAGCCGCGGUAAUACGUAGGGAGCAAGCGUUAUCCGGAUUUACUGGGUGUAAAGGGCGUGUAGGCGGGCAUGCAAGCCAGAAGUGAAAUCUGGGGGCUUAACCCCCAAACUGCUUUGGAAACUGCCAUGCUAGAGUGCUGGAGAGGUA